GGGGAAUAUUGGACAAUGGAGGAGACUCUGAUCCAGCAAUUCUGUGUGCACGAAGACGGUUUUCGGAUUGUAAAGUGCUUUCAGCAGGGAAGAAGUAAGUGACGGUACCUGCAGAAGAAGCGACGGCUAAAUACGUGCCAGCAGCCGCGGUAAUACGUAUGUCGCAAGCGUUAUCCGGAAUUAUUGGGCAUAAAGGGCAUCUAGGCGGAUAUACAAGUCAGGGGUGAAAACUUAGGGCUCAACUCAAAGCUUGCCUUUGAAACUGUAUAUCUAGAGUGCUGGAGAGGUGGACGGAACUACACGAGUAGAGGUGAAAUUCGUAGAUAUGUGUAGGAAUGCCGAUGAUGAAGAUAGUCCACUGGACAGCAACUGACGCUGAAGUGCGAAAGCUAGGGGAGCAAACAGGAUUAGAUACCCUGGUAGUCCUAGCUGUAAACGAUGAUUACUGGGUGUGGGCAUGAAGAGUGUCUGUGCCGAAGCUAAUGCGAUAAGUAAUCCGCCUGGGGAGUACGACCGCAAGGUUG
rnacentral:rRNA from 1 species